rnacentral:rRNA from 1 species
AGGGUUCGAUUAUGGCUCAGAUUGAACGCUGGCGGCAGGCCUAACACAUGCAAGUCGAGCGGAUGAGUGGAGCUUGCUCCAUGAUUCAGCGGCGGACGGGUGAGUAAUGCCUAGGAAUCUGCCUGGUAGUGGGGGACAACGUUUCGAAAGGAACGCUAAUACCGCAUACGUCCUACGGGAGAAAGCAGGGGACCUUCGGGCCUUGCGCUAUCAGAUGAGCCUAGGUCGGAUUAGCUAGUUGGUGAGGUAAUGGCUCACCAAGGCGACGAUCCGUAACUGGUCUGAGAGGAUGAUCAGUCACACUGGAACUGAGACACGGUCCAGACUCCUACGGGAGGCAGCAGUGGGGAAUAUUGGACAAUGGGCGAAAGCCUGAUCCAGCCAUGCCGCGUGUGUGAAGAAGGUCUUCGGAUUGUAAAGCACUUUAAGUUGGGAGGAAGGGCAUUAACCUAAUACGUUAGUGUUUUGACGUUACCGACAGAAUAAGCACCGGCUAACUUCGUGCCAGCAGCCGCGGUAAUACGAAGGGUGCAAGCGUUAAUCGGAAUUACUGGGCGUAAAGCGCGCGUAGGUGGUUUGUUAAGUUGAAUGUGAAAGCCCCGGGCUCAACCUGGGAACUGCAUCCAAAACUGGCAAGCUAGAGUAUGGCAGAGGGUGGUGGAAUUUCCUGUGUAGCGGUGAAAUGCGUAGAUAUAGGAAGGAACACCAGUGGCGAAGGCGACCACCUGGGCUAAUACUGACACUGAGGUGCGAAAGCGUGGGGAGCAAACAGGAUUAGAUACCCUGGUAGUCCACGCCGUAAACGAUGUCGACUAGCCGUUGGGAUCCUUGAGAUCUUAGUGGCGCAGCUAACGCAUUAAGUCGACCGCCUGGGGAGUACGGCCGCAAGGUUAAAACUCAAAUGAAUUGACGGGGGCCCGCACAAGCGGUGGAGCAUGUGGUUUAAUUUCGAAGCAACGCGAAGAACCUUACCAGGCCUUGACAUGCAGAGAACUUUCCAGAGAUGGAUUGUGCCUUCGGGAGCUCUGACACAGGUGCUGCAUGCUGUCGUCAGCUCGUGUCGUGAGAUGU